AUUGAACGCUGGCGGCAGGCCUAACACAUGCAAGUCGAACGAGUGGCGGACGGGUGAGUAAUGUCUGGGAAACUGCCUGAUGGAGGGGGAUAACUACUGGAAACGGUAGCUAAUACCGCAUACCAUCGGAUGUGCCCAGAUGGGAUUAGCUAGUAGGUGGGGUAAAGGCUCACCUAGGCGACGAUCCCUAGCUGGUCUGAGAGGAUGACAAGACACACUGGAACUGAGACACGGUCCAGACUCCUACGGGAGGCAGCAGUGGAGAAUAUUGCACAAUGCGGGCAAGUCUGAUGCAGCCCAGCCGCGUGUAUGAAGAAGGCCUUCUGGUUGUAAAGUUCUUUCAGCGAGGAGGCGUUACUCGCAGAAGAGUCUCCAACUAACUCCGUACCAGCAGCCGCGGUAAUAC
rnacentral:rRNA from 1 species